CUACGGGUGGCAGCAGUCGAGGAAAUUUUACAAUGCUCGCAAGAGUGAUAAAAUAAGCCAGAGUGUUUCUCCUAGAGAAACUUUUAUUUGCUGUAAAAAGGCAGAUGAAUAAGGACUGGGCAAGACCGGUGCCAGCCGCCGCGGUAAUACCGGCGGUCCAAGUCGCAUCCACAUUUAUUGAGUCUAAAACAUUCGUAGCUUGUUUUAUAAGUCUCUUGUGAAAUCCUAUAUCUCAAGUAUAGGGCGUGCAAGAGAUACUAUAUUACUAGAGACUGGAAGACGCAAAGAGUAUGAUUAAGGUAGCGGUAAAAUGUGUUAAUCUUAAUUAGACUAACAAUGGCGAAGGCACUUUGCGAGUACAGAUCUGACAGUGAGGAAUGAAGGCUAGGGGCGCAAAAGGGAUUAGAUACCCCCGUAGUC
rnacentral:rRNA from 1 species